AAUCAUUCAAUUAACCCAUUUUAAUUGAAAUCAAAACCAAACCAAACCCUUGAAUCGUGUCUCUCUCCAUCUCUCGACUCUCGCCUGCCUCUCUCGAAACUCUGCCCCUGCCAAGCACCAGUUGCCACCUCUAAAGAAGAAGAACUGAAGAAAAGAAGCUAUAGGCAGCAGGGGCUUACUGACUUUGAUUUCAAUUUGAAGAAAAGAAGCCGUAGGCUCGCCGCUCGUAGCCCAGCAGAAGAACGAUUGAACGAAGAAGGUGAAGUUGAUGAGAAGUGUCUUGGGGAUGUCAAAUGAACUGUCAAAGGCAUUGCAAAAGAAAGAUCAAGAUAUUGUGAAUGCAAUGCAAUUGGUGAGAUUGUGCAAACGACGACUCUAAAUAAUGAGAGAUGAAGGGUGAGACUCCUUUUUGGAAGAAGUAUGUUCUUUUUGUCAACAACAUUACAUUCAUAUACCCAACAUGGAUGAUAUGUUUGUACGCCUUGCACUUCAUGGUCGCUCUCAGCGUAAUUCUCCUGAAAUUACAAAUUUACAUCAUUACUGAGUAGAUUUGUUCUAUUCUGUCUUCGAUUUACAACUUCAAGAAUUGAAUGAUCGUUUCUCGAAGGUAAAUACAGAGUUACUCCUUUGUGUAGCUUGUUUAUGUCCACAAGAUUCAUUUUCUUCUUUUGACAAGAAAAGUUUGAUUAGACUUGUUGAGUUUUAUCCAUUAGAUUUCUUUGUAGUAGAUGUCAUUGUACUUAACAAUCAAUUUGAGACUUAUAUUUUUGACAUGCGUUCUAAUAAAGAGUUUGAAGGGUUGAAUGACCUUGGUGAUCUUGCGAAGAAGUUAGUUCUGACAAAGAAAGAUAGGGUAUAUCCAUUGGUUUACAGACUGACUUUGGCAUUGAUUUUACCGGUUGCUACUGCUUUUGUUGAGAGAGUCUUUUCUGUAAUGAGUAUCGUAAAGGAUAGAUAGUAAAAUAUGGUGAUAUAUUUUUGAAGCUUGAUAAUGAAGUUAUUGUACGAUAAUAUCAAAAUAUGAAAACUCGCAAGGAACAAGUUUAAUAUAUAAAUUAUGUCGUUUUUAGUAUUAUUCUAAUAUUGUUUUAUUUUUUUAUCAUCAUUAAAUCUAUAACCAAAACCUCAAAGUUCGGUGUCGAAAAAUUAUACCCGCAUUAAACGUAAAUCCUGGCUCCACCCCUGGUUUGAGAUGUCCUAAAAGAACAUCAUAAUAAGUAAACUGAAAUACUCCACACUUUGUUUUAUAUUUUAGUCAUACAUUUUAUAAGAUCUAUAACUUUUUUCACUUUUCAAUCACAUAUUUUACUAAUUUUUAUCAAAAUUUACUAAAAAUCUAAUUUCUAUCCAAAUCAAAGAGUGGCUCAAUUAGACGUUUAUUAAAAGUUCAGUAGCUCUAGUUGUUUGGGAACGCUUUUCAACAAUUGGCAUAACAUAUGAAAUUACAUUUUUUUGCAAAAUUAACUUAAGUACUUGAACUUUAAGUGAAAUUUCACUUUGUUAACAAAUAUCAGUAUGUGAAAUUUCACUUUAAUUUUAGCAAAAUCAAAGUGGAGCUUACUCUACUCAUCGGAGAAAAAGGGAUUGGCAUAUUUAAGUGACUUCAUUGGAACUUACCAAAGUGAAACUUAGCUACAAAUUUCAUGAUUUUACAAUUGUUUUUUACUCGAGACAUAAUAGUUACUAUAGGACUGGCCGUGGCCCAAGGCAAACUAGGCCAUUGCCUUGGGCCUCAGAGGAAAAAUGAGCCCAAUCCAGAACCCUUAUAUCCUUAAGAAAAAUAAUACACGUUUAAAAAGAGAGGAAAUGAACGAUCUGUCUUUUUCUUUCGUCACCAAAAAAAUCUAUAAAUUUCCAAUUUCCCACCCACAACUGGUGCAUCUUGAUUCUCUUGAAGGUAUCCAAAAAACUCAAGGCAAAUAUUGGAAUUGGGGUUGAGGAAGAAGGGUCUAGAGGAAGAGAAUGACCAGCUAUUGAAAGAGAAGGUAGUUACAAUUAAGAAGGUUGUUGGUGAAAAACAAUAUCUGGGGAUUUUUCUUUAAAUUGGAGCAGAAUUGAAGAAAGAUGGCAGAGUGCAGGCCAUAGUUUCUUUUGUUGUUCAAUGUUUGGUCACAAAAGAGUGAUUAUUUUUAUUUUGUGUUGUUGAAAUAAAAACUAAAAAGUGGGUUCUUGAUUUUUGAGUGGUUUUGGACAUGGCCAGGAUACCAACUAUUGAAAGAGAAAGUAGUUACGGUUGAUUUAUUGUAUUAAUUUUUUAAUUUUUUUAUUAUUUUUUUUAUAUUUUUGGGUAGACUUAGGAUGAUAGUUUUUGAGACAAUGAUCAAUCUGUUAAAUCUCAAUUAAUCUACAUUCAUUAUUGGAGUUAUAAACAGCAAAAAGGAAGGUGAUUAAUUAAUUGCAUCUUGUCAAAAGAAUA